rnacentral:lncRNA from 1 species
GUGUGAUGGAAAAUGCGGGAAACAUACUCCUGGUUGUUUGCCAGCUCCCUUCACUUGGGAUACGUUUCUGGAGAAGAGACUGAUCAGUGAUAGCAUAGUCCUGAUUUCCACUUCAUAGAUCUAAUCUGUGUACUAGAACGAUUUAGACUUAUUCCUUGAAUAAUCUUUUUCCUUUCAUCAUUGUUGACAUGGUGAUGAUGUCCAAAAGACUCCUAAAUUUUAAUACUUCAAAAGAAUAGUUUCAGUCUCAGAAGUUUCUGCUAGGAACUUACAGAUUUCCUUAAGGGCGUUGUCUCAUUUUUAAAAGGAAGGGGAGGGGUCAAUUUCCCUACUGUGUGGGUAUUGUGUACUCUUAAGACCUUAACAGCUUAACGGUUUUUCAUUUUUAUCUUCUGAGUAUGUAACUUGUAAUGGGCAUCUAUCCAGUUAACUUGUUCUGAGUAAGGGUGUUGGUCAUGUGAAUGUCAUUAC